rnacentral:rRNA from 1 species
GUAGGUGGCAAGCGUUGUCCGGAAUUAUUGGGCGUAAAGCGCGCGCAGGGCGGUCCUUUAAGUCUGAUGUGAAAGCCCACGGCUCAACCGUGGAGGGUCAUUGGAAACUGGGGGACUUGAGUACAGAAGAGGAAAGCGGAAUUCCAAGUGUAGCGGUGAAAUGCGUAGAGAUUUGGAGGAACACCAGUGGCGAAGGCGGCUUUCUGGUCUGUAACUGACGCUGAGGCGCGAAAGCGUGGAGCAAACAGGAUUAGAUACCCUGGUAGUCCACGCCGUAAACGAUGAGUGCUUAGUGUUAGGGGGUUUCCGCCCCUUAGUGCUGCAGCUAACGCAUUAAGCACUCCGCCUGGGGAGUACGGCCGCAAGGCUG